rnacentral:rRNA from 1 species
GAUGAACGCUGGCGGCGUGCCUAAUACAUGCAAGUAGAACGCUGAAGGAGGAGCUUGCUCUUCUGGAUGAGUUGCGAACGGGUGAGUAACGCGUAGGUAACCUGCCUGGUAGCGGGGGAUAACUAUUGGAAACGAUAGCUAAUACCGCAUGACAACAGCUAUUGCAUGAUAACUGUUGAAAAGGGGCAACUGCUCCACUACCAGAUGGACCUGCGUUGUAUUAGCUAGUUGGUGAGGUAACGGCUCACCAAGGCGAGGAUGCAUAGCCGACAUGAGAGGGGGGUCGGCCGGCCUGGGACGGAGACACGGCCCAGAGGGAUACGGGAGGCGGCAAGAGGGCUUCUUGGGCAAUGGGCGGAAGUCUGACCGAGAAAGGCGGAAGGAGUGAAGAGGGUUGUCGGAUCGGAAAGCUCUGUUGUAAGGGAAGAACGAGUGUGAGAGUGGAAAGUUCACUGUGUGACGGUAUCUUAUCAGAAAGGGACGGCUAACUACGUG